GCUACCGCCAUCUUAAAAGAGGCAGGGGAGGCAGAGGCGCGACCCAGGGUCUCGUUCCUCCGCGCGUGGGUAGGCAGCUCCACGCAGAGGGAGGCGGGCGCCCCUCCCUCCCAGGUGCUAUGGAAAAAUGCUCUGGUGUAUUUGUUUAUGUGUAUGGGCCCUGCAUUUUGGAAAUGCAGUGACUGUUAACACUGGUGACCAUUUUAGUUGUGAGGCUAAUAACAGUUACGUAAUCCAAGGAAUGCCUCUUCAACUUAAUGGCACCAUAGCAAUAUACGCAAAUGAACGAUUGACCAAUUGUUACGUGGUCUGGGAAGACAAGUCCAGUGGAAAGACUAUGACUGCCUUCAUGGUAGACAACAGUGAGUCAAAUGUAACCCUAGAAAAUGCUAAUGGAGACACGCUUGUAUCCGUGUUCAGAUUGGAUGUUGGAUGCAUGUGGAUAAUUAGUGAUACUUUUCUCACUGGCUGCACUCUUCAAGUGGCAGUAAACAAUGGUUCACUUUGUUCAUAUGUGGAAACAAAACUGAAUAGUUGGAUGAAAGUUGGGGUAAACACUAUUGAUAUUGUAAUCAGUGUUAAAUAAGAGCUGAAAAAAUUAAUUUGUAUACCCCUAUUCAAAUGUUUACUGGACACAUGCAGUGUAUCAACUUCACAAAUGUCAGACAUUUUGGUUCACAGAAUAAGAACAAGUUUUGUGAGUAUGGAAAUGUUACAUUCAGUGUUAGGUGCAUAAGUAGCAUUGAUGUAGACGUAAAUGUAAACGGUACCGGUAAAUGGAUUCACUGGCCUGUAUGGUCUCAGGAAGGUCAAGGAAGUUACUGUUGUUCGUAGACCAUAUAAAAGUUAUAUCGGAGCUGUGGUGGUGAAGAGGGACAUAAAAAAAAACUACUGCUGAUCGACCCUCGUUACUCUCUGAAAAAUAAUGUCACUUCAGUUAGAUAUUUCUGCGUACAGUAUAAGUAUGCACUGUAUGUAAUGCCACUCAGGGUGGGAUGGUACUUCUGGCUGGAAAGCAUCACAAUAAGGAACUCUAGACGGAGCAAAAGAGACACCCUAGCUAUGAUCCUUGGAGGGGUGGGCACUGGCCUAGGUGUCCUUAACACUAUAGAUAAGGAAAUCUUGGCUAGCAAGAUAGGGGCUAUAGGUGCAGAUAUAGCUUCCCUUUUGCAUGCACAGACAACAUCCCUAAACCAACUGAGUGGGAUGCAAUGUAGAAUUGCUAGUGUACUGCCAGGGUGGUUAAGGAUCCAGGAGCAGGAUCAUCUGAAUAUUAUAACUGUUUUAGAUGUCCUGCAGACCAGUGUGUCCCUGGCCCUGUCCUGUAUGCUGUCUCGGGACUAGAUAUUCACAGUAGCAAAAGAUCUAAUCAGAGAUGGGUUUAGUGGAGUUCUGCCAAUAGAGUUGAGGGGAGUCAUCUGGAGAAACUUCAUCUCCUUUGAACAAGAUCACCAACAAUGGUGGAGGUUAGUGAAUUUCUCUUACACAAAUGAGAUUAUAAUUAUUGCAUUUGUCUUCACUAUUGAGCAGGCCCAGAAGGAACGGAUUUACUCUUUGGUUCCACUAGGACUUAAUGUCAGUUAGUCUGUCUUUAUGCCGGUAGAGUUGAAUAGGUGGGUGUACGAGAAAGAGGGUACCUACAGGAGUGUUAACUUGAACUCCUGUGUAGAGGAGUAUGGUAUAGGUUAUACCUGUGGCUCAGGGGUAAUUGAGACAUCCCAUAUCUGUUUAGAUCCUAAAGAGGGUAAAUGCCAUCACAGAGUAAGUGCCAGUGAUUAUAACUGAUCUGUUAUUGUAUUUGUGGAUACAAAAUGCAUCUGCAUUGUUGGUAUCCAAAGUUUGUGGUAAAUUAUUUCCAUGAGGUAUUUCACAAUCCCUACGUUAACCCGUGCCUGUGCUCUGUACCAUCUGUGUGAUGAGAUGUGGUAUUGAUUUUGUUCUGACCAAUGUGUCAGUGCAAACCAAGAGCAUGCAUUAUGUGCUCUAUGAUCAUGUAACACCAGUAUACAUGGGUGCAAAUCUUUCUCUGCUCAGAGAGAUUGUACAUCGUCCAGAGCUUAGGCAGCAGUUGAGGCAGCUGGAGAAAGAUGGAGAGGAGGUGAUGCUGACAGUCCAUCACUCCUCUAGGCAGAUAAGGACGAUUCUGAAGUGGGUGGCUUAAGAGUCUAGGUUCAGCCACUGGUGGGAAGGAUUAUUCAGUGGGUCGACUAAUCUGAAUGAGAUAUGGAGUAUCUUCUUGCACCCAAGAGUAAUGGUAUUGAUUGUUCAGAUUCUAAUGAUAAUAGGAAUGGUCAUAUUGGUUUGUUGGGUCAGAAAAAGAGUUAAAAGGGUUACCAGUAUUAACCAAAGGUUAAUAUCAGGGUAGUACUUGGAGGUAAUGGUUCCUUUCACUCAACAGCUGUGAAAGAAAUUAACCAAGGGUUUAAAUCUAGGUAACAUUUGGGGUUACUUGGACAAUGGACAGACUACCUUAUUCAGAUAUAGUAAUGUGGGGGCUCAACAUUUGUAUUACUGCACAUGGCCACGAAAGAGGGGAAAUGUAAACAGUGAAUUGCCAUUUUGGUUAUUCUCACACUCCUGUGUCCUCCAUCUUAGAUGGGCUUCUUGUUGUCUCAGUCGUAAUUUGGCACCCUUUUUCCAAGUACUUGUCCCUGAUUGGACAGUCACAACUUUGUUGGUGUUUGAAAUCUUUUAGGCGGUCCGUGUAAGUAACGGAUACUGCAGCUGCCUGGAUACUGCUGGCAAGUCUGCCCAGUAACCAGAAAGAGCAGGAAAGGAUAUGUGAUCAAUGUGAAAAUCUAUAUAAGGACUUGACACACAGCGACUGGUUGCAAUCUGUCCUAGUGGCAGCCUGUGUCCACGUCUGGUCAGGGGAAAGCAAGAGCUCCAGCUUUGUUAGUACUAUAUAGACUGGUUCAUAGAAUCUCAGGAUUGGAAGGGACCUCAGGAGAUCAUCUAGUCCAACAUCCUGCUCAAAGCAGGGCCAAUCCCCAAUUUUUGCCCCAGAUCCCUAAAUGGCCCCCUCAAGGAUUGAACUCACAACCCUGGGUUUAGCAGGCCAAUGCUCAAACCACUGAGCUAUCCCUCCCCCACCUAUGAACCAGGUUGUACUAUAGACUUGGGGAAAACAGAGGUUAGCUCUGCUAGUAGCGGAGAUGAAGAAAAGACGACGAGGAGACAUGCAAGCUUACCAUUGCUCCUGGCCCUUUCCUUGGCAGAGGUAGUCCUGACGGCAAGUUCCUGAGCAGUGUCUCCUGGGUUCCAGAGGCUGGUUCCUGAUUGAAGACUUCGGGGUUCUAGAUCCGUUACCCUCAUCCUUGUUUCCUGUGUGGAUACGGAGGUGUUAUGUCCUACCCAACACAAGAAGGCCCAUCGACACCAGACAAACCAUUGUGGAACAUCAGAGGACAAAAGACUUUGUUGAUUGCUCCCCUGUCUUCCAUGAAGAGGAGACUGAAUUCCUUGCAACAGCUGAACUUGCAUCUUGCAGCAGAAGGGGAGAAGGUAUAAAAGGCCUUAACAAGGAGAAAUUGGAUCUUUAAUGUUAUUUGCACUCUGAGGGGCACGGAUUAUUAAGAAAAAGUAAAAAAUCCCCAGUGCUUGGCCUGGGGUACCCCUAAAGGACAUAUAGUGCUUGCUUAUUAUAGAUGCUUGUAUUACUACUUGAGACUUAAGAGUGGAAGCAUUUGUGUAUAUAUGUUUACUUGCAUUAAGCUUAUUUCCUUUUCCUAGUUAAUAAAUCUUUAGAGUUUAUUAUGAGAUUGACUACAGGUGUUGUCUGUGGUGUGAGAUCUAAGGUGCAAUGGACAUGGGGUAAGUGACUGGUCUUUUGGGACUGGAAGUAACCUGAAUAUUGCUGUGAUCAUUGGUGUAAAGGACUAUCUAUCACGAAGGUAAGCUUACCUCCAUGGCUCGUAUCCAAGGGGACUGUUUGUGAUUCCAUGUUAAGGCCACUACAGUGCUUGUGGAGUUCACACUUGAUGAUUGAUCGGUGAAAUCUAAAUAUAGAAGUCCCCGCCCAGUUGGGGUUUGUACCCUAGGGGUAGUACUCAGGCUCUCGAGCCACUGCAGAGACAAAAGACUGUUUGCAGUAUAACGGAGGGGAGAGGCAUUCUGUAUCCUUGAACUGAAGAGACAUCCUGAGCAGCUGGGGUGAUCUCAUGAAAAGUUGGUUCCUGGUUCCUGUGAAGUCAGCUAGCUCUGCAAGAGAUUGAAGUUUGUGGGUGGGAGAAACUUUGUUAGCUAGAAAAGGUAGCUUUUAGUAAGUGUAGAUUCAGGUUUGUGUUUUAUCGUUUUGUAUUGUAACCUUUUGUUUCCAUCACUCUCUCUGUUGUUUCUAGUUGAAUACAUAAAUAAACUGUUUGUUUUUAUUACAAGUGUUGUACAGGAAGGGGGGAGGUUAAGGUAAAACUAGUAAACUGGGGUGCACUGCUCCUAUGGGGGCAGAGGAUCUGGGAUUUCUGUGAGUAGCUAGUGUCAGGGGCUGGAUAUCACAAGGUAAUGUUUCAAAGGGACUCGGGCUGGGGUGCACCUCUUGUUAACCUGCAAGGUGAAGUCAGGACUGGCACACCCAAGAGGAGAGUGCUUGGGUGGCUGACAGGCUGGUCAUGUUAGGGAGCUGACCCCCAGUUACCAAGACUCCCUCACCCUAGAAGCAGGGCUAACGAGUUGACUCAGUCCGGGAUACCCCAGGAACCAGCCCAGUGGUGUAGUCAGUAGGAUCUUUACCCUGCUUGCUAGCUAACCACAUCCCAUGCUCACAGUGCUUAUAAACCAGUGACCAAGAGCCUAGAGAAUGUGAAGGUUGGAAAGAAGGGAAGAAAGGGUUACUCUUUGUUGUCUGUGUGUUUGUUUCAGGUAAGGGACUAGAGUGGCAGAAGAGGCUGGAUGAGCAGAGAAAUACAUGCUAAUCACACCAAGAAGCAAUAGGAGGAGCUGUGUGCUGAGUGCUGGCUAUUUGCUGCAGGAAAAGAUACGGCUGGGUUAAGACCCUCCUCAUGGAAUAUGCCAAGCCGCAUGAAGGGCAGCCGAGCUCCAAGUGAGCGUGAAGACUCUGGGAACCCACGUGGUGCCACCACCACCAGCGUGACAGCUCUGGACCUGGACAAGACCAGGGCAGAGCUCUGUAAAAUGGACCUAGCAGAAAAAGAGAAGGAGGGUGAGCAUCAACAGCGAAUGGUGGAAAUUGCAGCCAAAGAGAAUGAAGCAGCACAUCAGAGACAGCUGGAGCUGGAAGAAGCUGUAUGCCAGCAAUCCAUGGAGUUGGAGGAGCAAAAGCGUGAACCAAAAGAUCAUGAGCAAGAUGCUGGAGAGGUAUAUACCGAACCCCCAGACAGCAGGCAAUCCUCCAAAAGGGGCACCAGCUGAGACAGACUUUGCCUUACUCUCUGAUACAAUCCGUCUCUCUCUCUCCACUCUUGAAAGAAUAUAUGAACUGUACAAGAUUCCAGAGGAAAAGAGUGUACCCACGCUGAUCUCCAAGCUGACUGGUAGAGCAUUGGGAGUGGUUAAUGAGAUGGACAAGGGGCAGGCACUGAAAGGACGAGUUGAAACAAGCUGUGUUUCAAAGGUUUCAGAUCACCCCAGAGCUGUAUCGUUUUAAGGUUCAGAACUCUCAAAAGCAUGACAAGGAACGUUUCCUGAGUAGAUGUACUGAAGGAGUCAGAGCGCCGAUCUUUGAUAACCCCCCUGCCACUGUAUGGAGUAUAGCUGAUAUCAAGACUCCUACAUACAGGCCAGACUGUUCAGUGAGCACAGACCCCAGAAGGAGGGGCAGAAGCCCAGUACAAAAGGGGGACCCUGUUUUAUGUCUGGGAAAAGGGAGGGUGUGGUGGUGAGUCCAAGCACCCACCACCACAGAACUGAUCACCUCCCAGUAGUCAAAAUUACAGGCCUCUAGCACAGCAGGAUGGCCCAAAAAGUGCUACUUAUCUGACUCCACUGAGCACAUGAAAAGAAAUUAUCCUAAGCAAUGGGUAUCCGAAUAUAAACCCUGUUCAGCCCAGGUUAAUGUGGCUACUUUGGACUGAGGGGACCCUAGUGAAUGCUGUAAGGUCUGACCUAUUGGUGGUUGAUAAAGAGUUUAUUAAAGAUUCCAAGGUGAAUGCUAAGGUUUGCCAAGGUUGGAGGGUCACUUACACCCAAAUUUCUCUGGUCAGAAAAGACCUGGUUGUGGAAUCUGAUCUACUCCCCGAGGAAAAUUAAAACUCCUUCCAUUGGGAAACUCUGAAAUCACUGUACCCUUAGUUCGUUGGAGUGGGAAGGUUUAAAAGGUACUUUAACAGCUGCUAUACUGGAUAGACAAGGUGGAUGAGGUAAUGUCUUUUAAUGGACCAAUGUCUGUAGAUGAAAGAGACAAACUUUUGAGCUGUACAGAGCUCUUCUGCGGGGCUGGGAAAGGUGCUCAGGGUGUCUCAGCUGUCACUGCUGUAUAGUAGAACCUCCCAUUUAUGAACAUUGACUUAAUAAAGCUUUGAAAUUUUACUAUUCAGAAAAAAUGCUGCUUUUGACCAUCUUAAUUUAAAUGAAACAAGCACAGAAUCAGUUUUCCUUUAUUUUUUGUAGUAUACGUUUAACACAAUACUGUACUGUGUUGGCUUUUUUUGGUCUCUGCUGCUGCCUGAUUGCGUACUUCCAGUUCCAAAUGAGGUGUGCGGUUUACUGGUCCGUUCGUAACUCUGGUGUUUGUAGCUCUCAGGUUCUACUAUAUUUGUGUUCACACCCAAAGCAGGCUCAGCAAAAGAAGCUGAUUUCUCAACUUCCUGCUCUGCAGACGAGCUGCUCCUGCCUGCUGCUAAUGGUGCAGAGCUCUCAGCUCCCUGUGUUUGGGGACUAAGGGUCUGCCUACACUGGCAGAGUUACAGUGCUGGCCGUUACAACGCCGCUCAGAGAGCACUGAAGGGAAACCGCUGUUGUGUGUUCACGUUGUUAGCUGCCUGCACGAUAGCAUGUUGCAGUGGUAUUCGGAGUGGUGCACUCUGGGCAGCUAUCCCACAGAGCAUCUCUUCCUCCCCUGCUGCUAAGAGUUGUGGGAAGGCAGAGGGGGUUGCUGGACAUCCUGGGUCCUGUCCCAAUGCCCCAUGAUGCAUUGCUUUGAAUUCCAGCAAUCCCUGUGCUUCCGUCUGCAUUUGGCGCCAUCUGCCAACCGUUUGUGUACUGCGCACUCUGCCUCUUCGGUCUGCAGGAAUGGCUCCUGAACUGUGAGCUGUUUCCCUGCGACCAUGACCUGAUCUCAUAGGAGCAAGCUCAGUUUAUAUUGUAUGUGCACGAUUGUGUUUAGCAAUAUAAGCUGGCUGAAAUGCAAGCAGGAGGACACAGAAUCGCAGCAUUUAGGCUUGGCAACAGGCCAAACCCUAAGCAAGGCCUAAUAAGGCACUGAGUCCAAGUGCUUGACAUGAGGUCAUAAGAUUUGGUAACACAUAGCUUGUAACACGCAUGUACACCCACCACAUAAACUUUACGUAGUGGAUUUCUAGGGGAUUUUGGGAUAUAUGUAACCACGGAGAAACCACACUGAUGUGUCAAAACUACUUGCCAGUUAGGUAUUAACUCUUGGAAGUUUAACUGUGGUUAGCCGGAAUACCAUGCAUGGGCAGGGGCUGAAACAUUAUCAGAUGUGGUCAUGUACAUGUGGGGAUGGAACAGGAAAACGGCUGGAUAUUAGGAGAAACUUUUUCACUAGGAGGGUGGUGAAACACUGGAAUGCGUUACUUAGGGAGGUGGUGGAAUCUCCUUCCUUUGAAGUUUUUAAGGUCAGGCUUGACAAAGCCCUGGCUGGGCUGAUUUAGUUGGGGAUUGGUCUUGCUUUGAGCAGAGGGUUGGACUAGAUGACCUCCCGAGGUCCCUUCCAACCCUGAUAUUCAAUGAAGUCCAUAGUAGUAUUUGCAUGCUUGUGAAUGAGACUACUGUAUCUUGCAGUUGUGACAAGGAACUUAACUUAUUCUUAAUUAUCUUUAGGUUUAUAGUAUUUGUAAUUUUUGCUCCAAAACCAACUCCUCCUAAUAUGGUGUCUACUACAUUUCGUUUUGCUCAGCCAUUGGAGUGUUGAUGUGUUUUUAUCCAGGAUGUUGUAAUAGGAAGGGAGUAGGGUAAACAUUUGAGUUCCAAUAUAGACACUUUUAGCUAAGUCCAAUUCAUACCAAUUUUUAUUUUUUACUAAUAGUGGAUUUAACAAGACUUUUACUGGAUCACUUUGAGUCACAAACACUUUUUUGGUUUCUUUAUUUUAAUUGGGGUACCUUUCUUGAAUGCAUAGUCUCUGGUCCAGGUUCUGGUGCACGUGUCUGGGAACGAUAGGUUCAAUUCACCAUGGGGUAUUGGACAGUACCCCACAAUAACUGUUAGUAUUGUUCCUGUCUUAACAGGCUCGUCCCACGGAUGUGAUAGUUGUGGGUAGCUGGAACUCCAGGUGGUAUCCCCAUAGGGACCCUCUAUUUUAACCCCUAUUUCCCAGUGGUUUGGUAUUUUUGUUGUGUUUAUAAGGUACACUUUAAGUCCCACUUCCCCUUCCCAGGCAUACACAUUGGUAUUUCCUAAGGGUCUUAAGGGUUGGCUAGUGUUUUUAUUAUACUAUUUCAUGAGGAUCACCGGAUCACAGGUAGGAAUCCAUGAUUGGUUGGCGGGGAGUGAAUUAUUCCUUAAAUAUUGGUUCUAAUUAUCGGGGCACUAAAAGUUCCCAGAAGCAGGUAAAGCCAGGCCUUACACUGGAGGAGAAGAAGGCACACUGCCAGCUCCCAAGGAGGGACAGCCAACGAUCCAGGGUCCAGCCAAGCCGGGAGGCACCCUGCGUCCCUGACCGAGGUCUCGACAGGAGGGGAUGGACCGGAGGACCUCCCCCGCCCAUUUGGAGAACACGACGUUGAGGGUAGGAAGUGACCCAGGGGAACUUUAGAGACAAGCAGCGUUAAAGCCGCAUGGACACUCGACGUGUUGCGGGCGGAUCCCCGCCAAGCUAAGCGCAAGGGGGAACCCCGCCAAUAGGCGAGCCCUGGGUCGGGACCCGGUGGAGAGGGUGGGCCCAGGUCCCCCUACCACUCCGGCCAUUAGGAUACUUCCCCGCCUGAGAGGGGGAAGGCUAUGGACUCUGGCCGUUGGGUCACACUGCCCUGAUUCAUGGGGAGAGUUAUAUGGACUUUGGCUGUUGGGCUAUGCUGCCCUAAUACUUGGGGCGAGUUGUAUGGAUUCUGACCGUUAGGGCCCACUACCCCGACCAAGGGGCGAGCACAGGGAAACUGGCCAUUGGGUCACAUCAUGACUCCCUUAAAGGGAUGGGCGUGGGAAUUUAAGAGUGGUGAGGCCCCGACACCACAUCCACCCCUCCCACAAAGAGGUGCAGCAGUGCCGGACCCAUCACACUCCCCCAUUGUCAGAAUUUAUUAUUUUGGGGGUGCCAUAUUUACAUACUACCUUAUUAAAGAACUUUUUGGCCACCACCCUGGUGCUGUUAUUUUUUAGUGGGAAAUGCCUCCACCCAUCCUGAAAAGGAAUCAAUUUAUCACCAAUAAGUACUGGAAUCCUUCCUUACUCCUUGGCAGUUUAUUAAUAAAACUAAUUUGAACCCUGUGCCAUGGCCCAAGCCUUCAUUGGUGCAUCAUGAGUUGCCAGUGCAGAGGAUGAACCUUGUCCUGAGCGCACCGCACACAAUUCUACACCAAUGUUUUAACAUCAUCCUCCAUACACUCCCAUUUGGCUACUUGCUUUAGCGUUCUUAAAGUUCCUUCUACUCCUUCAUGCAUAAACUGAUGGGCUACAUACAUUAAGUAACUCUUGUCUUUCUAAUUUUUUUGGAAAAAAGAAAAGGAGUACUUGUGGCACCUUAGAGAAUAACAAAUUUAUUUGAGCAUAAAGCUUUCGUGAGCUACAGCUCACUUCAUCGGAUGCAUGUUAGUCUCUAAGGUGCCACAAGUCCUCUUCUUUUUGCGAAUACAGACUAACACGGCUGAUACUCUGAAACCUCAAAAAGAAA